rnacentral:tRNA from 1 species
GGCGGUGCUGCGCGGGUCGAGCCGGCCGGCUUUCAGGGUCGGCGAGAGGUCGGCGUAGGCCAGGAACUCGUUGAAGGCGAAUUUCUGCCC